GGGGCCUUGAGAAGUGGCCUGAGAGAAGCUUUGUUCCUUUUAUAGCAGCAAAAGUACAUUGGGACAAGAGUGGGCCAUAGUUAGAUGCCUCUCAUAGAGCUUAUACAUUUGGGAUACUGUAUAUCCAUUGGGAUCUAAGACUCAUGAGGAGGUACUGCCCUGUGCCCCAUCUCUCACAUCCGAGAGCAACGCUCAGAGGGGUGACAACGUCUUCUGUGCUGAACACUCUUUCUGAAGCUACACUAGAGAAUGGACAAGAUAGAACAUCCAUGGCAAAUACAGCUCGCCAUCCUUGCCAGCUUUUCUGAGGGCCCGGCUUGUUUAACCCCUUAAGGACCGGGGGUUUUUCCGUUUUUGCAUUUUCGUUUUUUGCUCCUUGCCUUUAAAAAAUCAUAACUCUUUCAAUUUUGCACCUAAAAAUUCAUAUGAUGGCUUAUUUUUUGCACCACCAAUUCUACUUUGUAAUGACGUCAGUCAUUUUGCCCAAAAAUCUACGGUGAAACAAAAAAAAAUCAUUGUGCGACAAAAUAAAAAUAAAAAAACGCCGUUUUGUAACUUUUGGGGGCUUCCGUUUCUACGUAGUACAUUUUUCGGUAAAAAUGACACCUUA